UACAGAGGUCUCAAGCGUUGUUCGGAUUCAUUGGGCGUAAAGGGUGCGUAGGCGGUUUGGUAAGUCUUAUGUGAAAUCUAUGGGCUCAACUCAUAGACUGCAUGAGAAACUGCCGGGCUUGAGUAUGGGAGAGGUGAGUGGAAUUCCUGGUGUAGCGGUGAAAUGCGUAGAUAUCAGGAGGAACACCUGUGGCGAAAGCGGCUCACUGGACCAUAACUGACGCUGAUGCACGAAAGCUAGGGGAGCAAACAGG
rnacentral:rRNA from 1 species